GAUGAACGCUGGCGGCGUGCCUAAUACAUGCAAGUCGAGCGAACAGAUGAGGAGCUUGCUCCUCUGACGUUAGCGGCGGACGGGUGAGUAACAAGUGGAUAACCUACCUAUAAGACUGGGAUAACUUCGGGAAACCGGAGCUAAUACCGGAUAAUAUAUUGAACCGCAUGGUUCAAUAGUGAAAGACGGUUUUGCUGUCACUUAUAGAUGGAUCCGCGCCGCAUUAGCUAGUUGGUAAGGUAACGGCUUACCAAGGCAACGAUGCGUAGCCGACCUGAGAGGGUGAUCGGCCACACUGGAACUGAGACACGGUCCAGACUCCUACGUGAGGCAGCAGUAGGGAAUCUUCCGCAAUGGGCGAAAGCCUGACGGAGCAACGCCGCGUGAGUGAUGAAGGUCUUCGGAUCGUAAAACUCUGUUAUUAGGGAAGAACAAAUGUGUAAGUAACUAUGCACGUCUUGACGGUACCUAAUCAGAAAGCCACGGCUAACUACGUG
rnacentral:rRNA from 1 species